GGCUGUGCGUUAGGUUGGCAUUACUGACUGUCUAAUUGUUUAGACCUCCUCGACUUAUGUGAUAAAUUUAGCGAUUAAUUACAUUUAGCCAAAAAGAAUUCAGAGUAGUGGAAAAAAGAUCUUGCUAGCUGUGCGUGAAUUUUGUGAAAAGAAAAAAGCUAGUAAAGGUUUUGUACUUCUGUUUGAAACGGGUAGCUGCAAUGACAGGUUUGUCUGAGAAAACCAUCAGCAUCAUUACUAAAGAAGGUGAAAUUACUGCUUCCACAUCUAUAACAUAGUAAAGCUGACCGAUGAAGCUUUCCAAUCAAUUACUACAGAGGAAUAGCAAAAGCAAUGUUAACAUGUUCAUCAUAUUAAAUUUUACUAAACAGAUGAAUACGUAGACGAUGAAAUUGAAAAAAAUAUUAUACAAGUAAACGAUGGCUCGGAUACUGAGUCUGAUAGCACUUCUGAUUAUUCGUUCCCUUCUAAUGAUGUCCAUUUAGAUCAUUCUUAUUCUAAAUAAAAGCUUUGACCAAUC